UGAUCACAAGAAAAAUGUAACAAAUCAGAGAUGCCUUCUACUUGAUAGUAGGAAUUAUUGUCAGUUCGGUUGAUAUAGUCCUGUAUCUUUAAUAGGAGUGGAUGAUUAUUAAUAGAAGUUAAUUUGAGAAAGAAUUUUGUUUGUAGAUAUUUGAAUCUAAGAGCUAGUGGGGGAAUAUUAUAUUCUACUUGUAAUGAUAUAAUAGGAGUUGACCUAAAAACGCCUGUUAUGAUCCUUAAGCAUUUAUUUUGUAUUUUUUCUAAUUUAUUCACUAAUGUAAUUACUCCACCAUAACAAAAGAAGGCAUACUCAAAAUGGCUAUGGACUAAUGACUUAUAUAGUGUUAGCAAGAUGCGUGGGUCUGCACCCCAAUAUGUACCAGCUAAUGAUUUCAGAAUAUUGCAGGCCUUUAAUGCUCGAUUUUCUAAUAUUUCAACAUAUUUGUGCCAUCUAAAAUUACUUAAAAACGUAACCCCUAAAAACUUUAUUGAAAUCUAUUGAAAUUUCCUGAGUACCAUAAUAUAUUUUUGCAUCUCUUAUUCUUAUAGAAUGCUUUGAAAAUAUUACUACUUUGCUUUUCUCAAUACUGACCUCAAGACUAAGAUAUUGAAAAUAAAGCUCCAAUAUUUUGAGUGCUACAUUAAGAUCUAACACAACAUUUGAUAAAUUAAGUACUGAACUAUACACUACUAGAACAUCAGCAAAUUGGAGGGACAUUUAAGGAUAGAAGAAUGGAUGAUAAUUGUUCUAAAUCAAAAUUAUUAAAUGCUCCUACAAUAUCCAAAAAACACACCAGCCAAUAUCUUAUUGUCAAUCUGGGCACUAUGGAUGUCAAGACAUAAAUGCUGUAUACUCUCACAUGCAGAACGACCACAUCGAAAUCCAAAUUGAUUAUUAGAUUACUGAUUACAGAUCGGAAUGUUGGAUGGAAUUGAAGAAGAUUCAGUUUCCGACACUACCAUGGAAAAUUUUGUGAUUGUAGGCAAGUGAUAGCUGCCCAAAGAGUCCCGAUGAACUUGCCAUUCACAGCACUGGAAUAAUGAAGAUGAUACUAUUGUUAGAUCUAGUCCAUUUGGUCUCCAAGAAUUAGUACCCACUGUAGUUGGUUGAUCAUUAUUUAAGAGCAUUAAGUCAUUAUCGUCCAUUACAUCCAUGAUGUCUCUACCUCCAGAAUUGGUUCUAUUACAACCCCAAAUGGUAUGGUGAGCAUUAAAAUCACCAGCAAUUAUUAGUGGUUUUGGAAUACUAUGUAACAGUCUAUUAAAUUUAGAUUUGUCAGUUAGGUACACUGUUGCCAGGACUAUAAAAGCUAACAAUGAGAUGUCUUUUUGUUUGUAUUUAAUUUUGAUUGCUACAUUUUGCAAGGAGUUAUCAGAAAAUGUUUCUAACUUUUGAAAAUAAAUGCCAUUUCUAACAAAAAUUGCUACACCAUUGUGAUCAUUAACACAAUCAUUUCUUAGUAUUGUAUAACCUCUGAGAGAAAACUGUUUAUUUGGUUUAAGCCAAGUUUCUGAUAUAAGUGCUAUGUGUAUGUCCUGCUCAUAAAGAAGGUUUUGAAGCUCAAGUCUGUUACUCAACAGACUUUGAGCAUUCCACUGUACUAUGUUAAGUUUGUGACAGUUGGAUUGGAUAAAAUUAAAUUAAUGAUGUCUUGUGUGUUCUCUGUCUUAUUGAGUGAUGGAAAGUUUGUUGGAUGUUUAAAUAAAUCUGAUAAUGGUGUUUUA